AACUUUUAACAACGGAUCUCUUGGUUCUCGCAUCGAUGAAGAACGUAGCAAAGUGCGAUAACUAGUGUGAAUUGCAUAUUCAGUGAAUCAUYGAGUCUUUGAACGCAACUUGCGCUCAUUGGUAUUCCAAUGAGCACGCCUGUUUCAGUA
rnacentral:rRNA from 1 species